CCUACGGGUGGCAGCAGUGAGGAAUAUUGGUCAAUGGGCGCGAGCCUGAACCAGCCAAGUAGCGUGAAGGAUGACUGCCCUACGGGUUGUAAACCUCUUUUAUAAAGGAAUAAAGUGAGGCACGUGAGCCUUUUUGUAUGUACUUUAUGAAUAAGGAUCGGCUAACUACGUGCCAGCAGCAGCGGUAAUACGGAGGAUCCGAGCGUUAUCCGGAUUUAUUGGGGUUAAAGGGUGCGUAGAUGGGUUGUUAAGUCAGUUGUGAAAGUUUGAGGCUAAACCGUAAAAUUGCAUUUGAUACUGGCAGUCUUGAGUACAGGUGAGGUAGGCGGAAUUCGUGGUGUAGCGGUGAAAUGCUUAGAUAUCACGAAGAACUCCGAUUGCGAAGGCAGCUUACUAGACUGCCACUGACGUUGAUGCUCGAAAGUGUGGGUAUCAAACAGGAUUAGAUACCCGUGUAGUC
rnacentral:rRNA from 1 species